CCUACGGGAGGCAGCAGUGAGGAAUAUUGGUCAAUGGACGCAAGUCUGAACCAGCCAAGCAGCGUGCAGGAAGACGGCUCUAUGGGUUGUAAACUGCUUUUGUACGGGGAUAAAUCGCGCUACGUGUAGCAGGUUGAAAGUAUCAUACGAAUAAGGAUCGGCUAACUCCGUGCCAGCAGCCGCGGUAAUACGGAGGAUUCAAGCGUUAUCCGGAUUUAUUGGGUUUAAAGGGUGCGUAGGCGGUUCGAUAAGUUAGUGGUGAAAUCCCGGGGCUCAACUCUGGAACUGCCUCUGAUACUGUCGGGCUAGAGUUUAGUUGCGGUAGGCGGAAUGCAUGGUGUAGCGGUGAAAUGCAUAGAGAUCAUACAGAACACCGAUUGCGAAGGCAGCUUACCAAACUACGACUGACGUUGAGGCACGAAAGCGUGGGGAGCAAACAGGAUUAGAUACCCCUGUAGUC
rnacentral:rRNA from 1 species